ensembl:lncRNA
GAACAUUUGGAAAAGGUAAGGAGGUUUAAACUCAAAGUGACUGGCUGGCUACUUUGGGGUAGUAGAAAGGGGAAAUGAGAGGGGUGUCUUUCUGUCUCAAUCUGUGUGUUUGCACGUCCGUGUCGGUGCAUUAGUUUACGUAAGUAGUGUAAUCCAUGCAACUAUGCUAACGUUACAGCGCAUUCAAUUAAAUUCGUUUCGUGUUGAUUGAUUCGAAGGGGUAUGAUGAAUUUCGUCCGGAUGGCCGAGCGGUCUAAGGCGCUGCGUUCAGGUCGCAGUCUCCUCUGGUGGCGUGGGUUAGAAUGCCACUUCUGACAUUACAUUUGGAUUUCGUUGAUUGUGAUUAUCUGUUCAAACUUUGUAAUACGGAGAACAUUUGGAAAAGGUAAGGAGGUUUAAACUCAAAGUGACUGGCUGGCUACUUUGGGGUAGUAGAAAGGGGAAAUGAGAGGGGUGUCUUUCUGUCUCAAUCUGUGUGUUUGCACGUCCGUGUCGGUGCAUUAGUUUAUGUAAGUAGUGUAAUCCAUGCAACUAUGCUAACGUUACAGCGCAUGGUAGCUGGGGUUUAUUAUCGGUCCUUGUUGUACGGACAUUUGAACAUACGAGAACAGUAACCAUGAUGGCGAUUUGUGUUCAUUGAUUCGAAGGGUAUUGUGGUAAUACGUCAGGAUGGCCCAGCGGUCUAAGGCGCUGCGUUCAGGUCGCAGUCUCUUCUGGAGGCGUCGGUUCGAAUCUCAUUUUUGACAUUACAUUUGGAUUUCGUUGAUUGUGAUUAUCUGUUCAAACUUUGUAAUAUGGAGAACAUUUGGAAAAGGUAAGGAGGUUUAAACUCAAAGUGACUGGCUGGCUACUUUGGGGUAGUAGAAAGGGGAAAUGAGAGGGGU